rnacentral:lncRNA from 1 species
UUAUUCCUUUUCUAGUUAGAAACAGAUGAGUCCAUUUUAGUACAGAAAGCAAAAAGAGCCUUAUCAAGAUAUGGACAUAAGCUUGUUAUAGGCAAUGAGUUGAACAGUCGCAAAGAAAAAGUUAUUUUUGUAACCGAAGAAGGAGAACGUUCUAUUGUGAUAAGUAAAGAAGAUAUAGAAAGAGGAAAUGAGAUAGAAGAAUUGAUUGUUAAAGAGUUAUUGAAUAACUACAAAAAAUUUAAGAACUACUCUUAGAAAACUCCAUUUAUAAGUAAUCAUUCCAAAUAAGUUGGCUGAAAGAUGAAAAUGUUUCCCACAGAUGAAAAUGUUAACUUGAUAAAAUAGAAAUUCAUCAUUAGAUCUGUUUUGAAAAAAGAUUUAGGUUCUUAUCUUUAAGUAUACAAAAGAAGUACCAUUAGAAAUAUACUCCUAGAUUCUACUGGUAAGGUAAAUCCAUUUUAUAUUAUCAGGUUUUAACAAUUAAAUUCAUUUUUAAAUUUUUCAUGGCUUUCUAUGUUUGCAAUAACUAUUUCUUUCUUGUGCUUUUAUAUGCAGUAAAACUUUGAUAAAAUGAAAAAAAAUGCACAUUUUCUUCAUAUAAAACAUAUUAAAAAUUAAUGUCAGCUUAUGAUUAUUAUUUUAUAUAGCAUUCUUUAAAUGUAAAUACAGGAUCAAAAAGCUGAAUUCUUUCAUUAUACUUAUACUUCAAUAUUUUUUAUGUACUGAAGUACACAAUAAUUUGUCUUGCUUUGUUAAAUAUUAUAAGAUUUUCCAAAUACCAGGAGACUAAAAAUUUUUUAAGUGAAAGACAGUAUGAGAGGGAAAGCUUAUUAAAAGCAGCAGGUUAGUCAGUGAACAAUUUAAAAAUAAUUAAAAAAACAUAUAUGGGAUUUUACUACAGUCUGCAAUAAAUUUGAUAGAACUAAUUCAUUGUAGAAGUUUCCACCUUAAUAUAAUGUAUAUAACUUGCUGUAAUUCCAGCAAUUUUCUAUAUGUGAUUCAGUAGUUACUAGAUAAAAGCAGACAAUAGAGCACACUGACUAUGCAUUGUUCGAUUUUGUUGAAUAAUUUACUGAUGUAAUGAGUAGGUUGUGCUGUUCAGGCUACAUUGAUUCAAAACUACAGUUUCAUCUUCUGGCCAUGUGAGUAAAGCUAUUCACAUUAACAUCAUAUAGCAAUAACUCAUUAGUCAGAUAGCAAAAGACCAUUUGAAAUUGAAAGAACAAUUGAAGUCAACUGAAAUUCAAAGAUUUUUCCUCUGUGAAGGGAAGAAACUUUUUUAAAUGAAAUUUCUCGACACUUACAUUUAAAACUUGUUAAACUAUUAAAAUUGUAUAAAAAUACACCUAACCCAACUGGAACUUGACAUCUGGAAAAAUGUUAUACAACUUUUUAUUUUGAAACUUUAAAUGUAUACUUCUUGAAGAAGAAAAAUUCUUAUGCUGGAAUUUCUUAUAUGGUUUCUACUGUUUAGUAAUAUGCAUAUCUACAGAUUCUUGUUUUCGACAAAAUUUGCCAGAAAUUUUAAAACUCAAAGUUUCUUCACUUUUUUAUAUGUACUGAAUUUCGGUGAUAUAAGAAAUUUACUAGCAAAUUGUUGCAAAAUGUUCUAAAGUUUAUUUAGACAUUUCUUGUAAAAUAUACACAAUGUUAUUAAGUAUGUGCAAUACUUUUAUGUAUCUGUUUCAAGUUAACUGAAAAUAAAUAUUUAUUUUUAUACAA